rnacentral:rRNA from 1 species
UACGUAGGGUGCAAGCGUUGUCCGGAAUUAUUGGGCGUAAAGAGCGCGCAGGCGGUCGUGCAAGUCGCGUGUGAAAGCCCCCGGCUCAACUGGGGAGGGUCACGCGAUACUGCUCGACUUGAAGGCAGGAGAGGGAAGUGGAAUUCCUGGUGUAGCGGUGAAAUGCGCAGAUAUCAGGAAGAACACCCGUGGCGAAGGCGGCUCUCUGGGACGGUACUGACGCUGAGACGCGAAAGCGUGGGGAGCGAACAGG